rnacentral:rRNA from 1 species
UGAGGAAUAUUACGCAAUGGGGGAAACCCUGACGCAGCAACGCCGCGUGAGUGAGGAAGGUUUUCGGACCGUAAAGCUCUGUCGAACGGGAAGAAAUGCAUGGUGGCUAAUAUCCAUUAUGCUUGACGGUACCGUUAAAGGAAGCACCGGCUAACUCCGUGCCAGCAGCCGCGGUAAUACGGGGGGUGCUAGCGUUGUUCGGAAUCAUUGGGCGUAAAGAGCGUGUAGGCGGCUGGACAAGUCAGAUGUGAAAGCCCUAGGCUUAACCUAGGAAGUGCAUUUGAAACUGUUCAGCUGGAGUAGGGGAGAGGAAAGUGGAAUUCCUGGUGUAGAGGUGAAAUUCGUAGAUAUCAGGAAGAACACCGGUGGCGAAGGCGGCUCUCUGGUCCGAUACUGACGCUGAAGCGCGAAAGUGCGGGGAGCGAACA